UGUUGAAUGAUGAUAAAAAUCAGACGGAUUCCCAUUGAUAUAUUUUAUGCAUGAGAUCACAACCAGCUACUUCUGACAACA